AAUAGGGUAAUAAAAAUGGUAACAAUAACUGAUAUCAGCGCCGGCGCGCAGUGUGACCCGAGCUUUACGUAACACAAUUAUCCGCUCGUUAUCUCCGACCUUACAAUGCCAUAGCGUAUUUCAGCGUGGUGGUGGUGGCGAUUCAAACGCGCCGCAUGUUGUAAUGACCUUCGGGACGUUUACGGCUCGAUUUAAACUUUAAAAUACGUCAAAUAUUAGGUCUUCUUCUUUUAAAUAUGGCCUCCAUCAAGUCUAUAAUGAUUUUGCCAAUGUCAAGUGUUGUAGUAACUUUAAGUGUGCUCGUAGAGCAUGACGGUGUUCGGUAGUUGCUUUUAGUAAAGAGAUAGCUGGACUUUACUAAAAGCCACGAUGGAUUGCCGGGUGUUGAUCAAAACAUGGUUAAACGCUUUUCAAGAUUAGUUUUUCAUGAGCUGGACACUUUCACGAUAGUUCACUGCAUAAUAAGCUAAUAAUAUUACACUUUAAAAGAAGUUAAUGAGCAAAACACAAAAAAAUAUUCUCGAGACGUCUUCGCCAUCUUGAAUCUCAACGACAACCCAAUAUUAGGUCUAGAUGCUUCAAACAAAAACUGGCUGUGACAGAAUCGGACAGACAGACGGACAUGACGAAUCUAUAAGGGUUCCGUUUUUUGCCAUUUGGCUACGGAACCCUAAAAAUUACUGCACGCAAUUAGUUGAUAAAAGUGAACGUUCGUAUAUUUCGUGUCAUACAUGAUGACACGCAGAUUUGUCAAAUCUAACCUUUAAUAACAUGGUCUUACGACUUAAGGCAUGCGUCUUCGUGAAUGACACAAUCUAUAUCUUUGUAAGAAAAAUCCGGUGCGGCAGCAUUUCACAGUUACGUAAGUCGACAUUUGCACUAUUUUUUUGGCUUUCUAAACCAAGGAUGCGUAGCCAACUUACCAAUUGUUUACGCUCCGUAGCGAACGAAACGCAAGCGUCACUGUCGCACUAAUAUGGAAGUGUGAUGGAGAGAUAUAACUACCCUACGUUACGGAGCAAAAUCUUUUAUAAUUAUUUCAUCCUAUUUAUUAUUAUUAUUAUUUUUUGUAAUUUUAAUAUUUUCAUGCUAUUGACUCCUCAUUAAAUUAUUUCUUAUUAGUUGAUGUUAAAUUAUAGGUAUUUAAUCAUAUAAAUAUAAUUCAUUUUAAUUGACCGAGUGAUCUAAUCAAGUUAUCACUGACAACUGUUCACAUGUCUACAUGGACUGAAUAUAUCAUGGGACACAAUGCUUGUAAUUUAAGAUCUUAUGUUACCAUAUGUUCAUUGUGAAUAAACGAUUUCAUUUCAUUU